UAGAGAAAGUAAAAGUGUUUUGGUAAUCCCCUUCAGUAUUUUGGUAUUCCCCUUUAUAGUCUGUUUAAGCAGGUAAUCCACACACAGACCUUUUGUUUUUCUCAUCCGGUGAAGUGGUUAGAUCCAUGAGCUAGUCUUCAGUUUGUCCACCAGUGGAAGUGGUCCAAGAGUAUUUAUGCCAUGAAGUGUCCCAGCUGUCAGGGGUAUAAAGUUGACAUUGUGGAUCGUCAGCGAGCAGUCUGCAGGUCUUGCUCAAAAUAUCGUAUAUCACAGUUUCAGUUUUGCCGGGCCUGUCAUAGAGAAUGGCCACGGUAUGCUUCAACCACCAGUGCCUGCCAGCUGCCCAACUGUGCGCUUCGUGCCGCCCUCCUCAGUGACAUGAAAAUCAAUCAACCGAACAGCUCGGUUAAAGGAUGCCCCUUUUUCAGGGCCUGUCCAGGAUGCAAAGCCCUGCUAACUUACACUGGAGAUCUCUGUCCCAACAUCACUUGCCCUCAUUGUAAAACAUGGUUCUGCUUUCGCUGCCUGAAUCACUCGAGUCAUCACAGUACUGCAUGCAGAGUGUUGGACAACAAGC